rnacentral:miRNA from 10 species
UGUCUGUCUGUCUGUCUGUCGGUCUGUCGGUCUGUCGGUCUGUCGGUCUGUCGGUCGGUCGGUCGGUCGGUCGG